GAUGAACGCUAGCUACAGGCUUAACACAUGCAAGUCGGGGGGUAACGAGAGGAAAGCUUGCUUUCCUUGUCGACGACCGGCGCACGGGUGAGUAACGCGUAUCCAACCUGCCCCCAACUAGGGAAUAACCUUGCGAAAGCAGGACUAAUACCCUAUAAUUUCCUCAGAUGUCAUCUGACGAGGAAUAAAGAUUUAUCGUUUGUGGAUGGGGAUGCGUCUGAUUAGCUUUUUGGCGGGGUAACGGCCCGCCAAGGAAACGAUCAGUAGGGGUUCUGAGAGGAAGGUCCCCAACAUUGGAACUGAGACACGGUCCAAACUCCUACGGGAGGCAGCAGUGAGGAAUAUUGGUCAAUGGGCGGAAGCCUGAACCAGCCAAGUAGCGUGCAGGAUGACGGCCCUAUGGGUUGUAAACUGCUUUUAUACAGGAAUAAAGUUAGCCACGUGUGGUUAUUUGUAGGUACUGUAUGAAUAAGGACCGGCUAAUUCCGUGCCAGCCGCCGCGGUAA
rnacentral:rRNA from 1 species